rnacentral:rRNA from 1 species
GGAUGAACGCUGGCGGCGUGCCUAAUCCAUGCAAGUCGAGCGAACAGAUGAGGAGCUUGCUCCUCUGACGUUAGCGGCGGACGGGUGAGUAACACGUGGAUAACCUACCUAUAAGACUGGGAUAACUUCGGGAAACCGGAGCUAAUACCGGAUAAUAUAUUGAACCGCAUGGUUCAAUAGUGAAAGACGGUUUUGCUGUCACUUAUAGAUGGAUCCGCCCCGCAUUAGCUAGUUGGUAAGGUAACGGCUUACCAAGGCAACGAUGCGUAGCCGACCUGAGAGGGUGAUCGGCCACACUGGAACUGAGACACGGUCCAGACUCCUACGGGAGGCAGCAGUAGGGAAUCUUCCGCAAUGGGCGAAAGCCUGACGGAGCAACGCCGCGUGAGUGAUGAAGGUCUUCGGAUCGUAAAACUCUGUUAUUAGGGAAGAACAAAUGUGUAAGUAACUAUGCACGUCUUGACGGUACCUAAUCAGAAAGCCACGGCUAACUACGU